AUUGAACGCUGGCGGCAGGCUUAACACAUGCAAGUCGAGCGGUAACAGAGAGAAGCUUGCUUCUCUGCUGACGAGCGGCGGACGGGUGAGUAAUGCCUAGGAAUCUGCCUAGUAGUGGGGGAUAACUUGCCGAAAGGUAAGCUAAUACCGCAUACGUCCUACGGGAGAAAGGAGGGGACCUUCGGGCCUUUCGCUAUUAUAUGAGCCUAGGUCGGAUUAGUUAGUUGGUGAGGUAAUGGCUCACCAAGACCGCGAUCCGUAACUGGUCUGAGAGGAUGAUCAGUCAAACUGGAACUGAGACACGGUCCAGAAUCCUACGGGAGGCAGCAGUGGGGAAUAUUGGACAAUGGGGGGGAACCCUGAUCCAGCCAUGCCGCGUGUGUGAAGAAGGUCUUAGGAUUGUAAAGCACUUUAAGUUGGGAGGAAGAGCAGUUAACUAAUAUUUGACUGUUUUGACGUUACCGACAGAAUAAGCACCGGCUAACUUCGUG
rnacentral:rRNA from 1 species